AUCCAGCUAACGAGUCCCAAACAGGAUGAAACGCGCAUCCUGGAU
rnacentral:hammerhead_ribozyme from 1 species